GGAAGGGUGGAGUGAAGGAGCAGAGGGGACAGAGACGUGAGUUUAAACUAACGGUCAGGGAUGAAGAAUUAAUCUUGGAGGUUAUUAUAAAGAGAGUGAAAAGGUGACGGCAGAGAGAAGCAGAUGAGGCAGAGAAAUAUUGAGGAAUCGGUGGAAUGAUCGCUUGUGGCAGAAAAGAGAUAUAAAACAAUCACAAAAUAAAAAAGUAGAACUGGCCCAAAAGACACCUGGUUAAAGGAGAAAGCAUGAAUCAAUGUGUUUUAUGAAUUGAGGAAGUCCCAUUAGCUGUAUCAACAGACAGACCGACAGACAGCCAGCUGUGGAGGGCCGGGCUGCGAGGGGCAUUAGAGAGAGUAAACUGAGCUAAGUGUUUGUGGGCCGAUCCAUUACUGUUAUCAGAGGCCAUUACUCCAGCCCCAGCACUAAUCAUUGCAGACAGCAGCACCUGAUGCCAUUAACCAGCAGCGCGCGGGCACACACUCACACACACACUCACACACACACUCACACAGAAGAGCAGGGCUGCCCGGCUGUCUACCUGGCUGACUCUCUGACUGACUGGCAACCCCGAAACUCUUCACUGACCAGCAACACACUGUCUGGCCGACCGGCUCGCUUCCCCGCGACCGCCCAGCGGCCUGCCUGCCUUAUUUACUUCAUGUCUAGCAGCCUGUUUCCCGUUUCUCGCCGGACUGCAGCGACAGAGAGAUGGCACCGAGGAGGAGGCGAACACACCAGAGCCGGGCAGGGCGCCGAGGGAGGCGGGAAUAGACGGAGAACGGCGUUCAGAUUGAGCGUUUGACAACAAAUACACGAGAAACGAAUGAGCUCAGCGGUUCUCCAUUUCAUUCCAGCUUUACAGGCUUGUGAAGGAGGUUAGUUGUGCUCCUGAUCAGGUGUGUAAUCAGGCCGCCUCCAAAACCGAAAGCACGAAGGAGCAAUGGUCCGUGUGUCUGUGAGUGAGCGACGAGGUUAAUUUGUGCGGUUGAACAUGGAUUUGAAGCGUAUCGUGCAUGUGUGCAUGCAUACGCGUAAACAGAUUAUGCAGAGUAUAAACAUAAACCCUGUGUGUGAACAGCUCAGUUCAAUUAAACUCCGCCGUGUGAUGCUCUCUGCAAAAAAAAAUGUUUCCAGAUCAUAAUACAGACUUCAACAAUACAGACAAGGAGCGGUUUCAAAACACGUUUCAUAUUAGACAAAAAGCUGAAGGGGAAAGAACUUUACGCUCACACAGAAUAAUGAAGUUAAUUUACUCUUUUUUUAUGAAACUGUUAAACAUAAAAUUGAUGUUAUGUCAUCAUUUUUGGUUAAUAAAAUUACCCUGAUUUUAGUGAUCUGUUUUCAGGAAACAUGCUGAUGGUUCUCGGGCUGCAGCUGUCGUGAAUCCAGUAUAAGACUCUAUGUUCUCAUAAAAGUGGAGAAGGAGAAGCAAUGUCAGCUUUUAAAAACAAAACGAAACUAAAGUAAAGUUGCCUGCAAAUGAUACUCAAGGCUUUUGCUUUUUGAGAGAAAAAGUUUGACUGUGUGGUUCAGUUUUACUGAAAGCUGUGGUGUUGUCAUGUAUUAGUAAAAAAAAAAAAAAACAUCAACAAUGUUUGGUUGGUGAAACAUUUCAGGCAGUAAAUAAACAGUUUCUAAUGGAACAUUUUAGAGCAGUGGUGUCGAAAACAUCUGAGUUCAGGGGCCACAUAAAGCCCAGUUCCAUCUUGAGAGGCCAGACCAGUAAAAUAGCGUCAUAAUAGCUUUUAAAUGUAAAUUUUAAAGUUUUUCUUAGCUGUUUUGCAGAAUGUACGUGAGUCCAGUACAUCCCAGAAUGCGGCACAUGUUGUCAUAAAAUUUUUGUGAAGGUAAAUAUGGGCGGUCUGUGUUUUUAUGAAAUAAAAAAGCAAUCAACGAUUGACCGAAAAAACAAGCUUUUUCAUCAGGUUUGAAAAUCCUCCCACUGCUGUGAAGGACCUGUUUUGAAGAAAACUGAAAAAAAAAAAAAUAACGUAGACAGAUUUUUUUGGGAGCAGAAGACUUGUGUACCAAACUUGAUGAAUUUAAAGGUUGAAGAAAAUGACUUUUCACUCAAGGCUUCUUCUUUUUUUUUUAUUGUUGUGGUGGUUUGUGGUAUGAGUCAAAACAUAGAAUUGAUUAUUACAGUGCCACUUAUUGCAGUGGAUCAAUUCUUGGGGUCCAGCCCUUCUGCCAAUCUCGUUGUUUGGAGACGUUCCUGUAUUUAUUGCGCGAUUGCUUUCACCUGGCGCUGAAAAAAGUAAUCCAGAGAAGGAAAAAUCUAAACACAACACUUUUCUUUAACCUGCUCUGCUGCUCUGGCUGCUAAACAUUAAAGUUUUCUGUACGAGUGGCGCUGAUGAACUGAUGAGCUGAGUCAUUCUGGGCUGGUUACCGGCCGUCUUGAGACAGAAGAUAAAGAAAGGAGGAAAGGGUGGAUACAGGGUCAGUGAGAGAUUGAUGAGGUCAGGAAGUGUGAAAGAUUAAAUAUUCUAAAAAGAGAAGGGAGAGGCCGGGAGAAGGGGGUGAAAAUGACUCGGACUGGUCAUAAUGUUAAAAAAGAAAAGGAUGAAGUGAGACAGAAGAAAAGGAGGGCACAGAAAGUUAGAGGGAUGGGGCAGCGAGGAGUGAGGGUAACGCUGAAAGAUGGAGGAAAUAAGCAAGGUUGAAAGACGGGGAGGAAUGAGAGAGACGUCAAAAAGAAAAGGUGCGGACGUGCCGGGAGUAAGAUGAAUGGGACACAGCGAGCGAUAAAGAAGCUAUACGGUGGGGAAAAAAAGCUAAAAAAGAAGGAUGGAGGUGGCGAUAAGAGAAGGAUGGGAGACAGAGGACAGAGACUUGAGAGGCUGACAAGAUGAUGUACACUUCAACAUGAUCCACAGCAAACUGAUUUGAUAACAAGCAAAAUAUAUACUGGCAAAACAAGAAAAGAAUGGACGAGAGGUUUUUCAAAGGUAAGCUAAUUUAUUAUGAAAUUGAAAGAGACUUGAAUGAAAAUUAAAAUAAAAUUUGUGUUAAAAUGAUGUUAAGGUAGAACUAUUGGGACACAUGAAUUAGGGUAAAGUUUUAAUUUGACAAUUGAAGGGGAAAGCUCAUUAAAAAUGAAAAAAGCUGUUAUCGAAGCCCAAAAAAAAAAAACAAAUUAGGAAGAAAAAAAAACAUU